AUUUUUUUGUGCUUCAAUGCAUUGCUUUUGAACAUUGUGUUAUCUUUUGUUACCUUUAAACUUAUAUAGCCUCCCUCCUAGAGAUCUGAUACCAUUUUUUUCUUUGUUUGCUUUGAUUAUGUUUGUUUGUUUGGCUUAGGAGGAAAGUGAUUAAGAACCCGAAAUCUAAAGUCAGACUGCCUGAAUUCAAAUACCAGCUCUAUCACUCACCAGCUCUACAAUGUGGAGCCAGUUGCUUAAACUCCAAGCACCUCAAUCUUCUCAUCUGCAAAAUGGGAGCACUGAUGUACACAUACCUCAAACGGUUGUGAUGAUUAAAUUAGUUAAUAUAUGUAAAGGACUUAGAACUGUUCUUAGAAGCUUACAGAUGAAAUUUCAGUUAUGCUUCUAAAAGGAUUUCUCAUGAGAAUGUUUUUGGCCUUGCCCCAUCUACUUUUAUGCCGGCUCUACGAGGCUGUUUAGCAUCAUGAAAGGCAAGAAGUAAAGCAUCAGAUACACCGGGGUUUGUAUGCUUCUCAGUUCGGCCACUUUGUGGCUGUCCAACCAUGGUCAAGACUUCCCUGAGAUUUACUUUCUUUAUCUCUAAAAUAAAGUAAGAGUGGUAAUAACAGAACCUGCCAUAACCCAAAUCUUGAUCAACUGCUACAUGGAUAAACAAAAUGUGAUACAUCCAUACAAUGGAACAUUAUUUGGUCAUAAAAAGGAAUCAAGUAUGAUAUAUGCUACAUCGUGGAUGACCCUGGAAAACAUCAUGCUAAGUGAAAGAAGCCAGUCUCCAAAGACCACAUAUUUUAUGAUUCCAUUUAUAUGAAAUUUACAGAAUAGGCAAAUCUAUAGAGACAGAAAGUAGAUUCAUGUUUGCUUAGAGCUUGAGAAGAUGGGGAAACUGGAUGGUGAUAACUAAAGGAUACCAGGUUUCUCGUUAAAUCUCAUACGAUUUGAACUGAUUGAUGGUACCAAGAUUGUAUGCCUACACCCUUGUUGCAAGGGAGACUGACUACUACAUUGGAAAAUUUACCAUUUAAAUAUGAGAAUUUCCACUAACAUAGAAAGGGCAUUCAAAAGACAAUGAGCAGUCUUGAUUAUAAUCCUAUGCCUACUAUAAGAAUAGAGAUCGACUCUCAGAAAACCCAAAAUCUAAGAGAUGCACCAAGGAAGAGGAUCCAGAGAAGAAUAUAGAGAAGGAAGGAUGAUAUAGAUGAAAAGAAAAUACACAAAGAAAAAUAAUGGAAGGAAAUGGAUUAAAGAAUUUCCAGAAGGAGGGAGUAGUGAUCAAAAGUGUUAGUAUUAUACAGAAGUCAAAUCAAAUAAAGGCUGAGAAUUACCCAUUGGCUUUAGCCACUAGCAGGUCAUCCAUAUCUUUAGUAAGAGAAGUUUAACUAAUUUGAUGAGGAGGAAUCCUAAUUUCAGUGGACUGAAAAGGAAAUAGAAGAUGAUGAUAUAAAGACAUAUACUUUCUCAAGACUUGAGGAUCUAGUUACAACAUGUGGAUGUUGUAAUAAAUAUCGUAUUUAAUCCUUGUAAGGCCUUGUGAAUUAGGGACUGUUAUUACCCCUAUAUUACAGAUGCAAGGAGGCUUUGAGACCCAAGGUUAUGUGAGGGGCAGAUCUGGGUCUUACAGUCAGACUUGUCUGACAUUAGAGUCAGAAAGAACUCUUAGGCACCAGAUCACACUGCAAACAUUUUAUAGGGCAAUUGUUUUAGGGCAAGUCCCAAAAUCACAGAUUCUCAAAAUAAGAAGGAAUUUGAACUCUGAUUCACUUCUUGGUUCCACUUCAGUGUUUCUUUCUCAGAUCCUUAAAGGCAGAAUAUGUCUCUACCACAUCCUCCCAUCAUGCUGUUUAUUCCUCUGUUACAUUUGUUUUUGAUCAUCUCUCCUUCUUCUGUUAAUAGAAGUCUGAUUAUCUUUAUCUCUGAAGAAUCACCCAUUCUCUCAACCUUGGUCCACUUGCUUUGGCAAGUGCUGACUCCAUUCAUGUCUCUAGGGCUGGACAAGUCACUCAGUCUUGACUGUUAGAACAUAGCAUCCCUCUGAUCACUGUGAUAAAUUUAGGAAUAAGCUUGUGAACAAAUUCAAGUCACUGAAAAUUGCAUCCAAGACUUACAUCAUACUGUUGUGGAAGAGAAGUCCUAUUUUCUGUUGACUUGAAUCUUGGAGGAUAUAGACCUGGAGCUGUGGGAAGCCAUCUUCCCUUCACAUAGAAUCUGGGAGUGAAGCCUAAGGUUGGGAGAGCAGAUCCAGAAGGUGGAGAGAGUUGGGGUCCCAGUGAGCCCUUGGAUGAAGCCCCUUUUACGGCCAGCACCCCUGUACUUUUCUUUACAUGAGCUAAUAAUUUUUGUUUGUUUAAGUCAAUUUGAAUGGGAGGAUCUCCAAUUCGAUACCAAGAAAGACCUAAUGCAUAGCUUAUGACUGCCUGCAUGGUAUUUUCUCCCCCAGUAGAAUGUUAGCCAUAGAGUGCCCUAAUCCUCCCUUUUUUCUCUUUGUGCUCCACCCCCACCAAUGUCUAGGAUGAUGCAUUAUGUGUAGCAAGUGCUCAGUAAAUACCUGAUGGGCUCAGUAGAAUUGAGUGUAGACUGUUUCUGCAACAUUCCCUAAAAGUUGCUUCAGAAAAGCUUCCUGUCUAUAAGCUUGCUGACUGUCACUUUUGUCUCUUAAUCACAAGAAUAAUCUGCAGAAGAAGUCCCAAAUAUUUGAUCUUUCUGUUUGUUUGAAUUCACAUGAAACUAGAAUUUAGUGUAAACAUAUACUUGGCAUGUUCACUACAUGCUCCAACAAAACAGCUUGAAAGAUGCAGAGUGAAUUGUUCUAUCAGUGGCUCAAUAGACUAAAAUGUUCACUUUCUGUCCUUUGUGAAAAACUGGUUUUUCUCUGGCGCUUGAUUCCUUUCACACAAAGAGGCUGACAUCCUCUCAGGAUAAAAAAGGGGUAGAGAGUUAAGAUGUUUUUCUGUUAUUACUGUGAAAACUUGGCAGCAAUUCUUUACCAAAAUGGCCAUGAGCUGUUGCUGUUCUGUAGUUUAGGAGCAUUGCCCUUCUAGGUUCAUUAAACGAGAAGGAUACAGACAGAAGGAAAUACUUUCAGCACACAUUGAGGAGCGCUGCUAAAUGACGUGUCAUAGCUAUGGACUGCUGGAAAAUUCUGAUUUACUCGUAUUAAUAACUGCUGAGAUUGUUGUUUCACACUGAUAUAGGUAAGGAGACUCUUCUACCCUAUCUUUAUAACAAAAAACAUUGGAAGAAUUAUAGUGAGUUGAUCAUAUUAAUAUUCUAAUUCAUCAUAGCUAUAAUUGUAGCUGACCCUUACUGAGUACUUAUUAUUUGCCAGAUACUGUUCCAAGCAUUUUAUACAUAUCAAUAAUAGAUAGGGACUAUUAUAUCCCCAUUUUACAGAUAUGAAACUGAGGUACAGCAUGAUUACUUAACUUGCUCAAGGUCACACUUAACUUGCCCUAGGUUGUAAAGGUAGAGCUAGGAGUCCUACCAGGUAGUCUUUCUCCUGAGCUUCUCUUCUUAACCAUCAUGCUUUACUGCUCUUCAGAAUAUUU
ensembl:lncRNA